CGUGGGAUAGAAAGUGACGGACACCGUUUUAUCACGCUGUCAUGUAGACAAGAACGACCAUCAUAUCUGUACUGAGCCGGUAUCAUGGUCGCAUUUUUAUCACCUGUCAUGCCAUGCGUCACUUUCGCACUUACGUAUUUGUUAGAACGUGACAGGCAUGGUGACAAAUGAUAAAGAGCCGCCCAUGUUAGCCCUACUAGUGGCUAAGAUGGCUGGCUCUUUAUCAUUUGCCACCAUGCCUGUCACGUUCUAACAAGUAUGUAAGUGCGAAAGUGACGCAUGACAUGACAGGUGAUAAAAAGGCGACCAUGAUGU